rnacentral:misc_RNA from 1 species
GAUCAGGCUCGUGACUCACCAUCUGAAAGUGCUAGCUCGCGCGAAACAUGGCCAACAUCUGAUGCUUUGAUGGCAAAAAAGCUGGAGAAGGAGAAAGAGAAUGGCUAUGCUGAGCACUCUGUUGUCCGCAAUAUGCCAAACUCAGACAAAAUUUCCCUUCGAGACAUUGCCCGAGAAAGAGUUGACGUUAUAGCAGACAGGAUGCGAAAUCUCCCAGAUGAGUAUCUAGAGAAGUUCAAAUAUGAACUUCGGGUCAUUCUUGAAGGGUCAGGUGGUGCUCAGCACAGAAAUGAGUUUCAAUUCCUCCAAAGGCUAGUGAAUUGUAGGGGUGAGUUGACGGAAGGAAUCCUGUGUUUAACACACCGUACCCAGCUAGAAAUUCUGGUUGCCAUCAAAACGGGAAUUCAGGCGUUCUUGCAUCCCAGUGUCAGUCUCUCUCAAGCUUCUCUCAUUGACAUUUUCUUGUAUAAGAGGUGCAGAAACAUAGCAUGUGGCAGUGUGCUACCAGCAGAGGAGUGUAGCUGCGAAAUUUGCUCGAAGAAAAAUGGUUUCUGCAACCUUUGCAUGUGUGCUAUUUGUAACAAGUUUGAUUUUGAGGUCAACACUUGCAGAUGGAUUGGUUGUGAUCUCUGUUCUCAUUGGACACAUACAGAUUGUGCCAUUAGCAAUGGGCAGAUUGGAACGGGCCCUUCUGUUAAGGUUGGAGUUAGCUCAGCCGAGACGCUCUUCAGAUGCCAUGCUUGCAGUAGGACAUCUGAGUUAUUAGGUUGGGUUAAAGAUGUGUUCCAGCACUGUGCUCCAACUUGGGAUGCUGAAGCUUUUGUUAGAGAGCUCGAUUUCGUCAGGAGAAUUUUCCAGAGAAGUGAGGACGCCAGAGGCCGCAAGUUAUAUUGGAAAUGCGAGGAACUCGUUGAAAAGCUGAAAGGUGGUGUUGCAGACCCAAUGGCUUGUAAAGUGAUCUUAUCCUUUUUCCAAGAUCUUGAUGAUCCUUCAAAGAAUCAAGGCAAUGACGAAGGUGCUCGGCCAAUAGCUCCUCUAGAAGCAUUCGGCAAGAUUGCAGAUGUAGUGCAGGAAGCCAUCAGAAAAAUGGAAGCCGUAGCGGAGGAAAAGAUGCGUUUGGUUAAGAAAGCACGGCUAUCUCUCGAAGCAUGUGAUCAGGAGCUCAAGGAUAAAGCUCGGGAAGUGAGCAUGCUGAAAAUGGAGAGACAGAAGAAGAAGCAACAAAUCGAUGAUAUUGAAAGCAUCGUAAGGCUCAAACAGGCUGAAGCUGAAAUGUUUGACAAAAAAGCGGCUGAAGCUAGACGAGAAGCUGAAAGACUGCAACAAAUUACACUCGCUAAGACAAACAAGUCGGAAGAGGACUACACUAACAGGUAUCUGAAACAGCGAUUAUGCGAGGCUGAGGCAGAGAAGCAGUACAUUAUCGAGAAGAUGAAGCUUCAGGAAAGUUCACGAGCAGCGCAGAGCAGCGCCGGAGGCACUGACCCUUCCCAGAUUAUGUACAGCAAAAUCCAAGACUUGAUCAAGAAUAUGUAGAGUUGUUGCUUUCAAAGGAUAUGAACUCUCAUUUUCUCUGAAAAAUUUACUAGGCUUUCUGGAUUUAUA